UGACAGUUGAAAUGAAAUUAAUUAAUUUAAAGUACUGUAAAGUAACGAAGUCGAGUUUAGUUACACAAAAGAUGAAAAUUUACGAGAAGGGAAUCUAAUAUAAUGUUCAUCAUUAAAGUUAUAUCUUCGGAGACUCUUCAAGCCUAAGGCAUCCCGCAAGCGAGUCGGGUUACAAAAAACGCUAAAAAGUGUUAUCAUUCAUGCUAGUCUGCGAGCGAAAGAAAACCAUAGAACGCGCCAGCUGCUUCUCCUCCCGCGCAGAUUGUAAAAGUCAAUCACAGGAAAGAAUUUAUUUUAUAACUACGAGAUGUUCGGCUGGAAUCUUGAAAUUCAAUUUUGAAGCGUUAAGUUUGCAUAAUUGUGAUAUGCUUUGUUAUUGAUUAUGAUUGACUCCUGGCGAGUGAACUCCGCAACAGUUUUCUUAAUGAGCAUUUUUUGUCACGCAUUGAAUGCAACAUAAGAUCUCUCUGACAACAUUGAAAUCAUAAAUCAAAAAUGUUAAAAAAAAAAACUUCAAUCUAAUAUACCUACUUAGUACUUACAGAAAUAUUUUGCUACUUAGGUUGCCACUAGAAACCGAGAAGAGGUUGAAUCUUAAAAUUUCGGAGUACAUCGAGUCCGCCAUCUUGCCAAUCCAAAUAAAUGCCAACCGCGACUUACUGAUUAGUUUACGCGAGCUCGAAAACUUCUCUCUCUUAAUUAAAUGAAUGAAGCCUUGGACAAAGUUUAAGUCGAUUAUUUUACUCACUGAACUGUGCGAGCCCUCGAUAGGAAGGCGAUACCAUUUUUUCUCGAAAAUAAUACAUUGUACAAUGAAUUUCACUUUGAAAAAUGUACUAUCAAAUUCUUUCUUA